rnacentral:rRNA from 1 species
UACGAAGGGGGCUAGCGUUGCUCGGAAUCACUGGGCGUAAAGGGUGCGUAGGCGGGUCUUUUAAGUCAGGGGUGAAAUCCUGGAGCUCAACUCCAGAACUGCCUUUGAUACUGAAGAUCUUGAGUUCGGGAGAGGUGAGUGGAACUGCGAGUGUAGAGGUGAAAUUCGUAGAUAUUCGCAAGAACACCAGUGGCGAAGGCGGCUAUCUGGACGGUUUCUGACGCUAAGACGCGAAAGCGUGGGGAGCAAACAGG